CUGAUCGAGACGCUGGGCCAACGCCUGUGCAGCGUGCCCGAUUCCAGGAGAACGUUGCCUGGGAGCGUCGAAGAAUCAG
rnacentral:ncRNA from 1 species